rnacentral:snoRNA from 1 species
GUGUGCCACGCGAGAGCAAAGUGCACCUCGAACCAUUGCCCAGCCUCUGCUGUGGGCUGCAAGCACUGAAGGGGGUGGCACAGUG